rnacentral:lncRNA from 1 species
GACUAAAUGGAUCGACGGCACCAUCGAAUCUCAAACUUUAACUGCCAAAACUAUUGUUUUUCAUCCUGUAGUCCCAUUUAGAAUUAUUAAACGUCCUUUUUUGGGCCGAUAUUUAGAGUAAUGCUUUCUCGGGGUUUGUCUGCAAGUAUUUCAAACCAUACGGACCUAAAAAUUAGAAGUCAUUCCAUCUUUAUUCCCCUAGAGCCUUCCAGCAGUUCCUAAACCGCUCUAGUCGGAGCACGUUAUCAUUCUUGUUAGUUCUGAGUGAAUUCCCUCAGUAUGAUAAUUCUUUCAUCUGUUUGUUCCCCGUUUCUUCUCUAGCCUGAGCCUGACACACUAUUCAAGCUAGACAUGGAUGUGGCUCGUAACACCUGAUGACCAAACGGAUCUACGGCACCAUCGAAUCCCAAACUUUAACUGCCAAAACUAUUGUUUUUCAUCCUGUAGUCCCUUUUAGAAUUACUAAACGUCCUUUUUUGGGCCGAGAUUUCCAGGAAUGCUUUCUCGGGGUUUGUGUGCAAGUAUUUCAAACCAUACAAAGCUAGAAAUUAGAAGUCAUUCCAUCUUUAUUAUCGUAGAGCCUUCCAGCAGUUCCUAAACCGGUCUAGUCGGAGCACGUUAUCAUUCUAGUUAGUUCUGAGUGAAUUCCCUCGGUAUGAUAAUUCUUUCAUCAGUUUGUUCCCCGUUUCUUCUCUAGCCUGAGCCUGACAAACUAUUCUAGCUAGACAUGCGUGUGGCUCGUAACACCUGAUGACCAAACGGAUCUAUAGCACCAUCGAAUCUCAAACUUUAACUGCCAAAACUAUUGUUUUCAUCCUGUAGUCCCUUUUAGAAUUACUAAACUUCCUUUUUUGGGCCGAGAUUUAGAGGAACGCUUUCUGGGGUUUGUGUGCAAGUAUUUCAAACCAUACAGACCUAAAAAUUAGAAGUCAUUCCAUCUUUAUUCCCCUAGAGCCUUCCAGCAGUUCCUAAACCGCUCUAGUCGGAGCACGUUAUCAUUAUUGUUAGUUCUGAGUGAAUUCCCUCGGUAUGAUAAUUCUUUCAUCAGUUUGUUCCCUGUUUCUUCUCUAUCCUGAGCCUGACACACUAUUCUAGCUAGACAUGGGUGUGGCUCGUAACACCUGAUGACUAAAUGGAUCGACGGCACCAUCGAAUCUCAAACUUUAACUGCCAAAACUAUUGUUUUUCAUCCUGUAGUCCCAUUUAGAAUUAGUAAACGUCCUUUUUUGGGCCGAGAUUUAGAGGAACGCUUUCUCGGGGUUUGUGUGCAAGUAUUUCAAACCAUACGGACCUAAAAAUUAGAAGUCAUUCCAUCUUUAUUCCCCUAGUCAUCAGGUAUACACUCAAGUCGGAGCACGUUAUCAUUCUUGUUAGUUCUGAGUGAAUUCCCUCGGUAUGAUAAUUCUUUCAUAAAUUUGUUCCCCGUUUCUUAUAUGGCCUGAGCCUGACACACUAUUCUAGCUAGACAUGGGUGUGGCUCGUAACACCUGAUGACCAAACGGAUCUACGGCACCAUCAAAUCUCAAACUUUAACUGCCAAAACUAUUCUUUUUCAUUCUGUAGUCCCUUCUAGAAUUACUAAACGUCCUUUUUUGGGCCGAGAUUUCCAGGAACGCUUUCUCGGGGUUUGUGUGCAUGUAUUUCAAACCAUACAGACCUAAAAAUUAUAAGUCAUUCCAUCUUUAUUCCCGUAGAGCCUUCCAGUAGUUCCUAAACCGCUCCAGUCGGAGCAUGUUAUCAUUCUUGUUAGUUCUAAGUGAAUUCCCUCGGUAUGAUAAUUCUUUCAUCAGUUUGUUCCCCGUUUCUUCUCUAGCCUGAGCCUGGCACACUAGUCUAGCUAGACAUGGGUGUGGCUCGUAACACCCGAUGACUAAAUGGAUCGACGGCACCAUCGAAUCUCAAACUUUAACUGCCAAAACUAUUGUUUUUCAUCCUGUAGUCCCAUUUAGAAUUACUAAACGUCCUUUUUUGGGCCGAGAUUUAGAGGAACGCUUUCUCGUGGUUUGUGUGCAAGAAUUUCAAACCAUACGGACCUAAAAAUUAGAAGUCAUUCCAUCUUUAUUCCCCUAGAGCCUUCCAGUAGUUCCUAAACCGCUCUAGUCGGAGCACGUUAUCAUUCUUGUUAGUUCUGAGAGAAUUCCCUCGGUAUGAUAAUUCUUUUAUCAGUUUGUUCCCCGUUUCUUCUCUAGCCUGAGCCCGACACACUAUUCUAGCUAGACAUGGGUGUGGCUCGUAACACCUGAUGACCAAACGGAUCUACGGCACCAUCGAAUCUCAAACUUUAACUGCCAAAACUAUUGUUUUUCAUCCUGUAGUCCCUUUUAGAAUUACUAAAUGUCCUUUUUUGGGCCGAGAUUUCCAGGAACGCUUUCUCAGGGUUUGUGUGCAAGUAAUUCAAACCAUACGGACCUAAAAAUUAGAAGUCAUUCCAUCUUUAUUCCCCUAGAGCCUUCCAGCAGUUCCUAAACCGCUCAAGUCAGUGCACGUUAUCAUUCUUGUUAGUUCUAAGUGAAUUCCCUCGGUAUGAUAAUUUGUUCAUCAGUUUGUUCCCCGUUUCUUCUCUAGCCUGAGCCUGACACACUAUUCUAGCUAGACAUGGGUGUGGCUCGUAACACCUGAUGACCAAACGGAUCUACGACACCAUCGAAUCUCAAACUUUAACUACCAAAACUAUUGUUUUUCAUCCUCUAGUCCCUUUUAGAAUUACUAAACGUCCUUUUUUGGGCCGAGAUUUCCAGGAACGCUUUCUCGGGGUUUGUGUGCAUGUAUUUCAAACCAUACAGACCUAAAAAUUAGAAGUCAUUCCAUCUUUAUUCCCGUAGAGCCUUCCAGCAGUUCCUAAACCGCUCCAGUCGGAGCAUGUUAUCAUUCUUGUUUGUUCUGAGUGAAUUCCCUCGGUAUGAUAAUUCUAUCAUCAGUUUGUUCCCCGUUUCUUCUCUAGCCUGAGCCUGGCAAACUAUUCUAGCUAGACAUGGGUGUGGCUCGUAACACCUGAUGACCAAACGGAUCUACGACACCAUCGAAUCUCAAACUUUAACUACCAAAACUAUUGUUUUUCAUUCUAUAGUCCCUUCUAGAAUUUCUAAACGUCCUUUUUUGGGCCGAGAUUUCCAGGAAUGCUUUCUCGGGGUUUGUGUGCAAGUAUUUCAAAUCAUACGGACCUAAAAAUUAGAAGUCAUUCCAUCUUUAUUCCCCUAGAGCCUUCCAGUAGUUCCUAAACCGCUCCAGUCGGAGCACGUUAUCAUUCUUGUUAGUUCAUAGUGAAUUCCCUCGGUAUGAUAAUUCUUUCAUCAGUUUGUUCCCCGUUUCUUCUCUAGCCUGAGCCUGGCACAGUAUUCUAGCUAGACAUGGGUGUGGUCGUAACACCUGAUGACUAAAUGGAUCGACGGCACCAUCGAAUCUCAAACUUUAACUGCCAAAACUAUUGUUUUUCAUCCUGUAAUCCCAUUUAGAAUUACUAAACGUCCUUUUUUGGGCCGAGAUUUAGAGGAACGCUUUGUUGGGGUUUGUGUGCAAGUAUUUCAAACCAUACGGACCUAAAAAUUAGAACUCAUUCCAUAUUUAUUCCCCUUGAGCCUUCCAGCAGUUCCUAAACCGCUCUAGUCGGAGCACGUUAUCAUUCUUGUUAGUUCUAAGAGAAUUCCCUCGGUAUGAUAAUUCUUUUAUCAGUUUGUUCCCCGUUUCUUCUCUAGACUGGGCCCGACACACUAUUCUAGCUAGACAUGGGUGUGGCUCGUAACACCUGAUGACCAAACGGAUCUACGGCACCAUCGAAUCUCAAACUUCAACUGCCAAAACUAUUGUUUUUCAUCCUGUAGUCCCUUUUAGAAUUACUAAACGUCCUUUUUUGGGCCGAGAUUUCCAGGAACGCUUUCUCGGGGUUUGUGUGCAAGUAUUUCAAACCAUACGGACCUAAAAAUUAGAAGUCAUUCCAUCUUUAUUCCCGUAGAGCCAUCCAGCAGUUCCUAAACCGCUCCAGUCGGAGCACGUUAUCAUUCUUGUUAGUUCUGAGUGAAUUCCCUCGGUAUGAUAAUUCUUUCAUCAGUUUGUUCCCCGUUUCUUCUCUAGCCUGAGCCUGACAAACUAUUAUAGCUAGACAUGGGUGUGGCUCGUAACACCUGAUGACCAAACGGAUCUAUGGCACCAUCGAAUCUCAAACUUUAACUGCCAAAACUAUUGUUUUUCAUCCUGUAGUCCCUUUUAGAAUUACUAAACGCCCUUCUUUGGGACGAGAUUUCCAGGAACGCUUUCUCGGGGUUUGUGUGAAAGUAAUUCAAACCAUACGGACCUAAAAAUUAGAAGUCAUUCCAUCUUUAUUCCCGUGGAGCCUUCCAGUAGUUCCUAAACCGCUCCAGUCGGAGCACGUUAUCAUUCUUGUUAGUUCUGAGUGAAUUCCCUCGGUAUGAUAAUUCUUUCAUCAGUUUGUUCCCUGUUUCUUCUCUAGCCUGAGCCUGGCACACUAUUCUAGCUAGACAUGGGUGUGGCUCGUAACACCUGAUGACUAAACUGAUCAAUGACACCAUCGAAUCUCAAACUUUAACUGCCAAAACUAUUGUUUUUCAUCCUGUAGUCCCAUUUAGAAUUACUAAACGUCCUUUUUUGGGCCGAGAUUUCCAGGAACGCUUACUCGGGGUUUGUGUGCAAGUAUUUCAAACCAUACUGACCUAAAAAUUAGAAGUCAAUCCAUCUUUAUUCCCCUAGAGCCUUCCAGCAGUUCCUAAACCGCUCCAGUCGGAGCACGUUAUCAUUCUUGUUAGUUCUGAGUGAAUUCCCUCGGUAUGAUAAUUCUUUCAUCAGUUUGUUCCUUGUUUCUUCUCUAGCCUGAACCUGACACACUAUUCUAGCUAGACAUGGGUGUGGCUCGUAACACCUGAUGACCAAACGGAUCUACGGCACCAUCGAAUCUCAAACUUUAACUGCCAAAACUAUUAUUUUUAAUCCUCUAGUCCCAUUUAGAAUUACUAAACGUCCUUUUUUGGGCCGAGAUUUAGAGGAACGCUUUCAUGCGGUUUGUGUGCAAGUAUUUCAAACCAUACGGACCUAAAAAUUAGAAGUCAUUCCAUCUUUAUUCCCCUAGAGCCUUCCAGCAGUUCCUAAACCGCUCCAGUCGGAGCAUGUUAUCAUUCUUGUUAGUUCUGAGUGAAUUCCCUCGGUAUGAUAAUUCUUUCAUCAGUUUGUGGCCCGUUUCUUCUCUAGCCUGAGCCUGACACACUAUUCUAGCUAGACGUGGGUGUGGCUCGUAACACCUGAUGACCAAACGGAUCUACGGCACCAUCGAAUCUCAAACUUUAAGUGCCAAAACUAUUAUUUUUAAUCCUGUAGUCCCAUUUAGAAUUAC